rnacentral:lncRNA from 1 species
CCGCACCGCGGAGGUCUCACAGACCUUCCACCCUCCUUGCCGCACCCUCUCCCCUAAGAAGGAGAAAGGCGGGUGGGGUCAGUCACUUGAGCCAAUCCCACCUGAGUCAGUGAAGGCUUUGAGAUGAUCCCUUGAGUGACCAGAGCUGCUGCCUCUGAACCAUCUCCUCCCCACCACAAGACAGCAAUAACAAAGAGAAGGCACCAAGGAUUUUUGCUUUUCUUCUCUCUCCAGCCCCAUCGGCUCCAGCCCAAUCCGCGUUCCCCAUGUCUGGGCCUUCUCUUGGCCCACCUGGGAAGACAGCUCAUUAACUGCCCGCCAAGGAAAUGCUCUCAGGUUCAAAGCAAUUCCCUGCCAAGAAUUCAUUCAUUCAUUCUUUCUUUUUCUUUCUUUCAGCAAACAAGCAAUAUGUAAGACCUCCCCUGAGCCACCACAUGAGCUAGGCACCAGGAAUACAAAGAGAAAAGAUUCCGAUGAGACAGUCAGGCCAGCCCUGUGCUACCUCCAUUUUCCUUCUAAUGGCUGUCUGAUGCAACUGGACCAGCUGUGUGCCUGUUGAGGACAAUCCUAAAAUCAGGAACAUAGAAGACAGCACCCCUGCUUUGCCGUCACACUUCUCGGCGGUUCCCAUCACUGAUUACUUCGCCCUUCCGUGAUGCUUGGCCCUCUUCACGCGGGACUGACUCUUUUCUCUGGGCUGGGAUUGUGUGCUUUCCAAGCACUUCGUGUUUAUUAUCCCUAGAUCCUCAUAACAGCCCCGUGAGGCAAGGUCCUUCCCAUCAGGCAGAUGGGGAAACUGAGGAUCAAAAAAGCAUAAUGGCCUGGGUAGUGCCACACACCAAUUUGGGGCCAAGCCCGAGUUUGUGGCUCCCUGCCGUCUCCCUGCUUGACUUCCCCAGAACCUUGGCGCGCCCUGUGAGGUCGGGAGCUGAGUGAUGCCUUGUCUUGGUGUGAGCCUUCAGCACCGGGGACAGGGCCCAGCACACCAGGACUCUCAAGCCUGCCGGCUGGCUGCCGCACUGUCAGAAGGGAAGAGAGGGCAGAACGACCUCCCAUCGCUGUGGUGGGAACACGGAAUAGCAGAAACUGUAUGGGCUUUGCACUCACACAAGUCUUGAUUGGAAUUGCCACUGUGUUACGGCUACAUUGGGGACUAAUGAUACACAGCUGAGAAGGCUGUUGUGAAGAUAAAAUGAAACUACAGAUGUGUGGAAUAUCUGUGAAACAAUACACAAGACUUCUGAGAAGGG